GACGUAGGAGGCAAGCGUUAUCCGGAUUUACUGGGCGUAAAGCGCGUGUUGGCGGUUCGGCAAGUUGGAUGUGAAAGCUCCUGGCUUAACUAGGAGAGGUCGUUCAAUACUACCGAACUUGAGGUCAUCAGAGGAGAGUGGAAUUCCCGGUGUAGUGGUGAAAUGCGUAGAUAUCGGGAGGAACACCAGUGGCGAAAGCGGCUCUCUGGGAUGAUCCUGACGCUCAGACGCGAAAGCUAGGGUAGCAAACGGG
rnacentral:rRNA from 1 species